rnacentral:lncRNA from 1 species
GGGUGACAUGUUUAUAGCUUCUGCCCACCUCUACUCUUAGCCUUCCAUGUAUUUUAUAAGGGCCUUCAAAGCCAAUAAAGAUAUAUAUGUGGUAGGGUUCUUUUACUGCCAGCGUGCACUCCUUCAUAUAUAAAUCUAUAGGUGUGACUAUUGAUCAAUAGUACUGAUAUAUACUGGUGGGUGUCAACCACAUCCUGCGUGCCUGUGUGCUCCAGCCUGACAAUUCACCCCUGCACCCUGUGUAAGCCAACAGGGUUCCCCUGAAGGGAGUUGGUCACCAACUACAUGACUCACCUCUUCCUAACCGGGUGGGAACAGCCUUGCUGGCCCCUGUUCCUGCCAGUGCCCGCCACUGCUGUGCUCUCUUGCUGUUGAUGAGCUUGGGGCUGCUAGGCAGAGCACAAAGCUGCACCCUAGGCCCCAGAUCUCCUCUGCAGAGAUGGGGGAGACCCAACCAAGCCUUUCACCUCUCUGCAAGCAGAUAGAACCCACUAUGCUUGCAGCAUGUACUACUUGCUUAGUCAGGAAGCUACACAUGGCUCACCCUGCAACAAUUCUCUUGGCUUUCAGACUUUUCUGUGUCCUUUGUGGCUCUCCCUAUCAAAAUGUGCUUGUUCACCAGCUCAUUCCCUAGAAAAUCCUUUCAUAGUUCCCUUAAAAAAACAGCUCUUAUUGUAUGUCAACUAUACCUCAAUAAUUAAAAAAAAGAAAGAAAACCGCUCUUAAAUCAGCUGAAUCAGAGCAAAUCAACUGCAUUUCACUCUUAAUAAUGAUUAACUCUAGCAACUUCCCAACUUCAAAUGUUUAAGAAGCAGCAAACUGAAAAUACAGGUACAGCUUACACACAGAAUGGUUAUGAUUUUCCUCACACCUCUUCCCAUUCAUACCCAUUUGCUGGGUCUCCUGGAACCAGGCACUCAACAGGGGUUUCUGAAAUGCUCCCAUCCUCACCUAACCCAUGUCUUGCUUGUCCUUCAAUAGCCUCAAAUCUCAUCUCUGCAGCUGUGAAACUGUUGCUACAGAAGAGACCUCUGAGACAAUCUGGAACUUGGUCCAGGUCACAGGCAACAUGGAUUUGGGGUCCAUUCUUCCUACUUGCCCACCCCCAG